UACGUAGGCAGCGAGCGUUGUUCGGAGUUACUGGGCGUAAAGAGUGCGUAGGCGGUUUUCUAAGUUUGGUGUGAAAUCUCCCGGCUUAACUGGGAGGGUGCGCCGAAAACUGGAAGGCUUGAGUAUGGGAGAGGUAGGCGGAAUUCCUGGUGUAGCGGUGAAAUGCGCAGAUAUCAGGAGGAACACCGGUGGCGAAGGCGGUUCUCUGGGCAUUACCUGACGCUGAGGAGCGAAAGUGUGGGGAGCGAACAGG
rnacentral:rRNA from 1 species